GGUUUGUCGCGUUGUUCGUGAAAUCUCACGGCUUAACUGUGAGCGUGCGGGCGAUACGGGCAGACUUGAGUGCUGCAGGGGAGACUGGAAUUCCUGGUGUAGCGGUGGAAUGCGCAGAUAUCAGGAGGAACACCGGUGGCGAAGGCGGGUCUCUGGGCAGUAACUGACGCUGAGGAGCGAAAGCGUGGGGAGCGAACAGGAUUAGAUACCCUGGUAGUCCACGCCGUAAACGGUGGGUACUAGGUGUGGGUUUCCUUCCUUGGGAUCCGUGCCGUAGCUAACGCAUUAAGUACCCCGCCUGGGGAGUACGGCCGCAAGGCUAAAACUCAAAGAAAUUGACGGGGGCCCGCACAAGCGGCGGAGCAUGUGGAUUAAUUCGAUGCAACGCGAAGAACCUUACCUGGGUUUGACAUGCACAGGACGCCGGCAGAGAUGUCGGUUCCCUUGUGGCCUGUGUGCAGGUGGUGCAUGGCUGUCGUCAGCUCGUGUCGUGAGAUGUUGGGUUAAGUCCCGCAACGAGCGCAACCCUUGUCUCAUGUUGCCAGCGGGUAAUGCCGGGGACUCGUGAGAGACUGCCGGGGUCAACUCGGAGGAAGGUGGGGAUGACGUCAAGUCAUCAUGCCCCUUAUGUCCAGGGCUUCACACAUGCUACAAUGGCCGGUACAAAGGGCUGCGAUGCCGCGAGGUUAAGCGAAUCCUUUUAAAGCCGGUCUCAGUUCGGAUCGGGGUCUGCAACUCGACCCCGUGAAGUCGGAGU
rnacentral:rRNA from 1 species